rnacentral:rRNA from 1 species
CAAUAGCGUAUAUUAAAGUUGUUGCGGUUAAAAGCUCGUAGUUGGAUUUCUGCCGAGGACGACCGGUCCGCCCUGCGGGUGAGUAUCUGGGACGACCUGGGCAUCUUCUUGGAGAACGUGUCUGCACUUGACUGUGUGGUGCGGUAUCCAGGACUUUUACUUUGAGGAAAUUAGAGUGUUUCAAACAGGCCCACGCCUUGAAUACAUUAGCAUGGAAUAAUAAGAUAGGACCUCGGUUCUAUUUUGUUGGUUUCUAGAGCUGAGGUAAUGAUUAAUAGGGAUAGUUGGGGGCAUUCGUAUUAACACGUCAGAGGUGAAAUUCUUGGAUUGUGUUACGACGAACUACUGCGAAAGCAUUUGCCAAGGAUGUUUUCAUUGAUCAAGAACGAAAGUGCGGGGAUCGAAGACGAUUAGAUACCAU